UACGUAGGGAGCGAGCGUUGUCCGGAAUUACUGGGUGUAAAGGGUGCGUAGGCGGCUAUGCAAGUCAGGCGUGAAAUACACAGGCUUAACCUGUGGACUGCGUUUGAAACUGUGUAGCUUGAGUAGAGUAGAGGCAAGUGGAAUUCCCGGUGUAGCGGUGAAAUGCGUAGAGAUCGGGAGGAACACCAGUGGCGAAGGCGACUUGCUGGGCUCAAACUGACGCUGAGGCACGAAAGCAUGGGUAGCAAACAGGAUUAGAUACCCUGGUAGUCCAUGCCGUAAACGAUGAUUACUAGGUGUGGGUGGUCCGACGCCAUCCGUGCCGGAGUUAACACAAUAAGUAAUCCACCUGGGGAGUACGGCCGCAAGGUUGAA
rnacentral:rRNA from 1 species